CAGUGUUACAGCUCUUUUAGAAUUUGUCUAGCAGGUUUUCUGGUCUCUACCAGAAGACCCUA
ensembl:snRNA U7 U7 small nuclear RNA